rnacentral:rRNA from 1 species
AUUGAACGCUGGCGGCAUGCCUUACACAUGCAAGUCGAACGGCAGCACGGGGGGUAACCCCUGGUGGCGAGUGGCGAACGGGUGAGUAAUAUAUCGGAACGUGUCCUGUAGCGGGGGAUAACCUAUCGAAAGAUGGACUAAUACCGCAUACGACCUACGGGUGAAAGCGGAGGACCGCAAGGCUUCGCACUAUAGGAGCGGCCGAUAUCGGAUUAGCUAGUUGGCGGGGUAACGGCCCACCAAGGCGACGAUCCGUAGCUGGUCUGAGAGGACGAUCAGCCACACUGGAACUGAGACACGGUCCAGACUCCUACGGGAGGCAGCAGUGGGGAAUUUUGGACAAUGGGCGCAAGCCUGAACCAGCCAUGCCGCGUGAGUGAAGAAGGCCUUCGGGUUGUAAAGCUCUUUCGGCGGGGACGAAACGGUUCGUGCUAAUACCACGGACUACUGACGGUACCCGCAGAAGAAGCACCGGCUAACUACGUG